UAUAAGUUGAUUUUUGUAUAUAUAAGACCCUUCUAGGAUUAUGUAUAGCGAGGUGCAGGUUGGAUUUAUGAUUUCUGUAAUGAUCAUAUCUUUUAAGGAUGGAAGAGUUGGAUAAUUCUUUUUCUAGAUUAUGCAGCUCAUAAGAUGUUGGGCAAAAAUAUGAUUUUAAUUGCGGAUACUAGAUGUUUUGUCUCAAACAUGUGAGACAUUAUAGAGUACAAGAGACUGUGAGAUUACUUUUCUUUAUAAAUAUGCUAGAUACUAGUUGAAAACUCGAGAAGACUUGGAAUUCUUUCUCGAAAGAAGAAAAGGGAAAUGCAUGAAAUUCUAACUUAUUCUUGUUGGAGGUAAACUAGGGAGACUUAUUAAAUAUGAGAAUACUAACUUGUUUAUAUUUAAUUGAACUAACGGCAUGGUGGAGCUCUGGAUGUGGUUCUGCUGGGGAUGGGAUCAUUGCCUCAGAAUUAGGAUUUAAACUCGUAUUCAGGGUUAUGAUCCGAGAAGCUGAUAUAUCUCGACUUUCAUUUGCUGUUGAGCUUGCUGAAGAAUUCUAUGGAAGAGUGAAGGGACAAGAUGUUGCUUUUGAGCCAGCAAAGCUUUUGUGGCUUAUCCAGCGUGAUUUUUUGCAAGGGAAGUCUGUGCAAGAAAUGGUGCAUGAAGCUCUUCGACGUGUCCCUAAUGAUAAUGGAGACAAAAAUAUUGAUCAGGUUAACCAGAUCCGAGACUCUUUGGCUGUAAUGGGUGAUAAUAGCACAGCCUUUAGCUUACCGCAACCUCAUCUGAUGCGAACAAAACUCUGUGACUUGAAGGAUGAAGAGCUUGACCGAGCAUAUGUUAGAAAGAGAGAGCAAUUGAAAAAGCUUGUUGCUAGUGUCAUUCAUCCAAAAAUUGUUCAGGGCAAAUUUCUGAAUGGCAAGGAGUUUGUAGCAUUUCUCGAACAGAUACUUGAAGCCUUGAAUAAAGGGGAGAUCCCAUCAACAGGCUCUCUUGUGGAGGUUUUCAACAAGGGUAUUCUUGAGCGCUGUUUGAAGCUAUAUAAUGAAAGGAUGACGAAAUUACGCUUACCUCUAUCAGCUCAAUCUUUGCAAGAUGCCCACGAAAAUUCUAAAAUAGAAGUAAUGAAGGUUUUUGAUGAACAGCAUUUCGGCCGUCAUCACGCAAAGAAAUCUGUCAUGCAAUUGGAUGAAGAGAUACGAGAGGUGUAUAAGAAUUUCAUUCUGUCAAAUGAAUAUCUAUCCUCAAAGCUUUGCGAGGGACUAUAUACCAGAUGCGAGGACAAGAUGGACCAGCUUCAAGUUCUCAAACUUCCAUCCAUGGCCAAAUUUAAUGCAGGUUUCCUGCAAUGCAACCAAAGUUUUGAUCGAGAGUGUGUUGGACCUUCAAAAGCAAACUACGAGCAGCGCAUGAUGAAGAUGUUGGGGAAGUCACGAUCUCUAUUUAUCAAGGAAUACAACCAGAGGCUUUUCAAUUGGCUGGUGAUCUUCUCCCUUGUCAUGGUUGUGAUUGGACGGUUUAUUAUAAAGUUUAUUUUGAUCGAAAUGGGAGCAUGGAUACUAUUUAUCUUCUUAGAGACAUACACAAGGUUGUUCUGGUCGGCAGAGUCUCUUUAUUACAACCCAGUUUGGCAUUUCAUUGUUGCCACUUGGGAAACUCUUGUCUACAGCCCUAUUAUUGAUUUGGACAGAUGGGCGGUUCCAAUCUGUUUUAUGUUUGCUAUAUUUAUACUUUAUUGGCGGUGUUAUGGGAAACGGAAACAUGGUUCACGCGGACUUUUGCCUCUGUACAACAAUAGUAGAGGUACCUCAAAUCGGCCGAGAUCAGACUGAAAGGACACAUAUUGACUCGGGGGAACAACGUGGGCGAGCUUUUCUCAUUUUAGGUUCAAUUUCUCUAUAAACAACAGAAAGAAAUUCAUAGUUGUAUGAUGUCUUCUUGCUGAGGAAAAAACAAAGCGAAAGGAAGACAAAAGAAUAAAAAUAAAUAAAUAAAUCGCAGUAGAGGUUAUCAUCUUA